UGUGGGAGCGGGCUUGCUCGCGAUGCAGGCGCUGCGCAGCUUCUGCCACACUGCGGUGAUGCAAUCGCGAGCAAGCCCGCUCCCACA
rnacentral:misc_RNA from 1 species